rnacentral:rRNA from 1 species
GACGAACGCUGGCGGCGUGCUUAACACAUGCAAGUCGAACGGAAAGGCCUCAGCUUGCUGGGGUACUCGAGUGGCGAACGGGUGAGUAACACGUGGGUGAUCUGCCUUGCACUCUGGGAUAAGCUUGGGAAACUGGGUCUAAUACCGGUAUGAACUGCCUUUAGGGGGGUGGGUGGAAAGGUUUUUCGGUGCAAGAUGAGCUCGCGGCCUAUCAGCUUGUUGGUGGGGUAAUGGCCUACCAAGGCGUCGACGGGUAGCCGGCCUGAGAGGGUGUACGGCCACAUUGGGACUGAGAUACGGCCCAGACUCCUACGGGAGGCAGCAGUGGGGAAUAUUGCACAAUGGGCGGAAGCCUGAUGCAGCGACGCCGCGUGGGGGAUGACGGCCUUCGGGUUGUAAACUCCUUUCGACAGGGACGAAGCUUUUUGUGACGGUACCUGUAUAAGAAGCACCGGCUAACUACGUG